rnacentral:rRNA from 1 species
CAGCCGCCGCGGGAAUACAGAGGGUGCGAGCGUUAAUCGGAUUUACUGGGCGUAAAGCGUGUGUAGGUUGUUGUUCAAGUCAGUUGUGAAAUCCCUGGGCUCAACCUGGGAACUGCUUCUGAGACUGAACGACUAGAGUACGGUAGAGGGUGGUGGAAUUUCCGGUGUAGCGGUGAAAUGCGUAGAUAUCGGAAGGAACAUCAAUGGCGAAGGCAGCCACCUGGGCCUGUACUGACACUGAGACACGAAAGCAUGGGGAGCAAACAGGAUUAGAUACCCCAGUAGUCCCUGUCUCUUAUAC